UUCAGUACAGCAUAGAUGGAAUUGGUAUGGAUGAAACACUUCUGGAUGCUUUGCGUAAUGUGAUUUACAAGAUGGAGGCAGAUUCAGAAAAAGCGGCCCUAUGUCUUGAAGAGAGCAAAUUAUUUAGAGAGGGCAGCUACAGUUUUGGCCAACGAGCGGCUGUCGUCAGCAAACACAAUAUGAAUCCAGGUACGUGACACAUCAG